AGCAUGUGUACAUGUACGUAGGUCCGGGUUUUUUAUGCCGCACCUGUAGUGUCUCUGUCUCUCUGUAUGUACUUGUAUCUUGGGAGACAAGACACCGGUCGCACCCCUUGUACCUAUAUAUAUAUGUGUGUGCCUAAUGCACGAUCAAUAGGAUAUCCAUGCACCAAAUUAUUCUCUACGGUUGGUACCGAUAAGGUUCACAGGAUAUAUGUGGUGCUUGGGCCUUGGAAAGCCUUUUUGAGAGAAGAUACAAGUCGCCCCAUCUCCACACCACACGGUAGUUGUAUCACCUCGGGCAAGAAGCAGCAGCAUCCAUGGCGCCAGCGAUGCAGAAGGCCGUCCCGUCCGGGAAGGAUCUCAAGGGCGAGAAGCCGCGGCCGAAGGGCAAACCCGAAGAGAAGGGCAAGCCUGAAGGCAAGGGAAAGCCCCACGCCGUCAUCGAUAGGAAAUUCUCCUAGUCUAUGAAUUAUGCUCCUUGCCUGAACAACGGUGCGGCGUCCUCGAGCCCGGAGUGUGCUUGGUCUUCUCUAUUCCUGAUGCUA